rnacentral:rRNA from 1 species
UGGUGGAGUGAUUUGUCUGAUUAAUUCCGUUAACGAACGAGACCUCGACCUGCUAAAUAGUUCGCCGAACCUUUUGGUUCGUGUGUGACUUCUUAGAGGGACUAUCGGUGUGUAGCCGGUGGAAGUUCGAGGCAAUAACA